GGUAGGAUGGCUGAGCUUAAGCGGUGGAUUGUAGACCCAUAGACAGAGGUUCGAGUCCUCUUCUUAUCA
rnacentral:tRNA from 1 species